AUUGAACGCUGGCGGCAUGCCUUACACAUGCAAGUCGAACGGUAACAGGUCUUCGGAUGCUGACGAGUGGCGAACGGGUGAGUAAUACAUCGGAACGUGCCCAGACGUGGGGGAUAACGAGGCGAAAGCUUUGCUAAUACCGCAUACGAUCUAAGGAUGAAAGCAGGGGACCGCAAGGGCUUGUGCGUUUGGAGCGGCCGAUGGCAGAUUAGGUAGUUGGUGGGAUAAAAGCUUACCAAGCCGACGAUCUGUAGCUGGUCUGAGAGGACGACCAGCCACACUGGGACUGAGACACGGCCCAGACUCCUACGGGAGGCAGCAGUGGGGAAUUUUGGACAAUGGGCGAAAGCCUGAUCCAGCAAUGCCGCGUGCAGGAUGAAGGCCUUCGGGUUGUAAACUGCUUUUGUACGGAACGAAAAGGCUCUGGCUAAUACCUGGGGCACAUGACGGUACCGUAAGAAUAAGCACCGGCUAACUACGUG
rnacentral:rRNA from 1 species